AAUAGAUACCCCGGUAGUCCACGCCGUAAACGAUGAGUGCUAAGUGUUAGGGGGUUUCCGCCCCUUAGUGCUGCAGCUAACGCAUUAAGCACUCCGCCUGGGGAGUACGGUCGCAAGACUGAAACUCAAAGGAAUUGACGGGGGCCCGCACAAGCGGUGGAGCAUGUGGUUUAAUUCGAAGCAACGCGAAGAACCUUACCAGGUCUUGACAUCCCAUUGACCACUAUGGAGACAUAGUUUUCCCUUCGGGGACAACGGUGACAGGUGGUGCAUGGUUGUCGUCAGCUCGUGUCGUGAGAUGUUGGGUUAAGUCCCGCAACGAGCGCAACCCUUGUUCUUAGUUGCCAUCAUUUAGUUGGGCACUCUAAGGAGACUGCCGGUGACAAACCGGAGGAAGGUGGGGAUGACGUCAAAUCAUCAUGCCCCUUAUGACCUGGGCUACACACGUGCUACAAUGGACGGUACAAACGGUUGCCAACCCGCGAGGGGAGCUAAUCCGAUAAAACCGUUCUCAGUUCGGAUUGUAGGCUGCAACUCGCCUACAUGAAGCC
rnacentral:rRNA from 1 species